rfam:Myotis lucifugus cont2.441, whole genome shotgun sequence.
CGUGCAUUGGUGGGGGCCCUCAGCCUGGCCUGUGCCCUCUAUCAAUGCACAGGCCAGGCUGAGGGACCCCACUGGUGCACA